AGUGAACGCUGGCGGUAGGCCUAACACAUGCAAGUCGAACGGCAGCACAGGAGAGCUUGCUCUCUGGGUGGCGAGUGGCGGACGGGUGAGGAAUACAUCGGAAUCUACUUUUUCGUGGGGGAUAACGUAGGGAACUUACGCUAAUACCGCAUACGACCUACGGGUGAAAGCAGGGGAUCUUCGGACCUUGCGCGAUUGAAUGAGCCGAUGUCGGAUUAGCUAGUUGGCGGGGUAAAGGCCCACCAAGGCGACGAUCCGUAGCUGGUCUGAGAGGACGAUCAGCCACACUGGAACUGAGACACGGUCCAGACUCCUACGGGAGGCAGCAGUGGGGAAUAUUGGACAAUGGGCGCAAGUCUGAUCCAGCCAUACCGCGAGGGUGAAGAAGGCCUUCGGGUUGUAAAGCCCUUUUGUUGGGAAAGAAAUCCAGCUGGUUAAUACCCGGUUGGGAUGACGGUACCCAAAGAAUAAGCACCGGCUAACUUCGUGCCAGCCGCCGCGGUAA
rnacentral:rRNA from 1 species